rnacentral:sRNA from 2 species
AGCUGGGUUAUAAGGGGGGUUAACGCCUGUGGCACCGAAAUAAACCACUACAACUUAACUAAAUAUAGCCUAAAUCUCAAGGUUGCUUGGGAAUGAAGGUCUUUGAGAGUGGUGACAAUAUUACAACUUAAAUUCUUUGCGCUAAUCAAAACUUUUGAGAGGAUCCUCCGUAUGAUAGUUAACUCUGAUAAUUACAUGAUAAAAAGGCAGUAUUUACAAGGGAAUGCUCGGUUAUACGAGAGGCAGUGCUCAGGUUGCAAGAAUCAAGAGGUGGUAUAAAAUCUCUAAUAUAUGAGAUAGUGUCUCUGACAUACCCCCUUCUCGGCCAGAAGUGGAUGUACAGUCCUGGGGAUAGAGUCUUUUCAAGAGUUGCUAUCUGGAUUCUGUUCUCUCCCUUACUGUGUAUAUAGAGAUCUCUUCAGCGUAGCACAUCCCCAUGCCCGAAGGCUUGGGGGGCGCAGGCGUUGCAUGCACCCCUCUGGGGCGCUAAACAAAUACAUACAUACAUACAUACCCCUUUCAGCAGAAUAGCGCAAGGAAUGAAGCUGGAUUAGAUUACCAGAAUAGGAAAGCAUAGAGAACAUGGUGGAUUCCUCGCGUCCAAGCACAUUGUGUCUUUAUACCUUAUUUUGCGAUUUUAUUGACGCGAUUAGUUAUAUCAACUAAUCCCAUCUGUUUGAUGAAUUCUUUUUGCUUCUGAUGUCAUAGUGACUUGGUUAAUCCGUCCACUGGCAUGCUAGCUGUAGGUGUCCAUUGCACUGAUAUAUCACCGGAUUGUAUCCGUUCUCGCAACCAAUUGCUGUAGAUAUCAACAUGGCGUAGCUUGGUGGUGAUUGAAGAAUCUUCCUUAUUAAGGAUACCAAUCGUUUGUCGGUUAUCGCACAUGAUAGAGAUCUUAUACCCUGGAUCAAAUCCUAGAUGAUCGACCAAAUGGACUCCUUGCCUACUUGUGAUAUAGCUAGAAGCCCAGCCUCAGUGGUGGAAGUUGUUAUCACUUUUGGUUCAUCGUAUAUCCAAGCAGCCAUCUGCGCACUUUCUUGCAUCCAUGGUUCUGCAUCUUCUCUAACCUGAGAUUUAACUUCCAGGAUGGCUA